rnacentral:rRNA from 1 species
UACGAAGGGGGCUAGCGUUGCUCGGAAUCACUGGGCGUAAAGGGUGCGUAGGCGGCCUGUUAAGUCGAACGUGAAAUCCCCGGGCUCAACCCAGGAAGUGCACUCGAAACUGCCAGGCUUGAAUAUGGAAGAGGGUCGCGGAAUUCCGGUGUAGAGGUGAAAUUCGUAGAUAAUCGGGAGGAACACCAGUGGCGAAGGCGGCG